AUUGAACGCUGGCGGCAUGCCUAAUAUAUGCAAGUCGAACGGGGAAAGCUUUCGGGUGAGUACUAGUGGCGUACGGGUGAGGAACGCGUGGAUAAUCUGCCUGAGAGUGGGGGAUAACUAGUCGAAAGAUUAGCUAAUACCGCAUAAGACCACAGGAGCUGCGGCUCUAGGGGUCAAAGGUUUUUCGCUCUAAGAUGAGUCCGCGUAAGAUUAGCUAGUGGGUGAGGUAACGGCUCACCAAUGCGACGAUCGUUAACUGGUCUGAGAGGAUGAUCAGUCACACUGGAACUGAGACACGGUCCAGACUCCUACGGGAGGCAGCAGUAGGGAAUAUUGCACAAUGGAGGAAACUCUGAUGCAGCGACGCCGCGUGAGUGAUGAAGGCCUUCGGGUCGUAAAGCUCUGUCGCAGGGGAAUAACACAAUGAAUGUACCCUGUAAGAAAGGAUCGGCUAACUUCGUGCCAGCAGCCGCCGUAAUAC
rnacentral:rRNA from 1 species